rnacentral:rRNA from 1 species
GACAGAGGGGGCAAGCGUUGCUCGGAAUCACUGGGCGUAAAGGGCGCGUAGGCGGGAUGGCAAGUCGGUCGUGAAAUCCUUCGGCUCAACCGAAGAACGUCGGCCGAUACUGCCGUUCUUGAGGGAUGCAGAGGAGAUUGGAAUUCCCGGUGUAGCGGUGAAAUGCGCAGAUAUCGGGAGGAACACCGGUGGCGAAGGCGGUUCUCUGGGCCUUACCUGACGCUGAGGAGCGAAAGCGUGGGGAGCGAACAGG